AUAUCAGGAGACACAUAGCCACUCGAAAAUACAUGUCUGUCAAUGCAGAGAGAGAGAAAGAGAGAGAGAAUGAAAUUACUUGACUCUGAUGCCAGGACACACAGCUUAUUUAAAUAGCUACUCAAGCCCACAGCAGCAGUUGUUCUCUCCUGUUGCAUAAUGGACAUGCUGAGAGUGUGUUAUCUAUUUGAGUGAGGUCUAUAACACAUUGAGCUUGGACAAUGCUGUCAGAUUGGCUGAGGUUAGUGCUCGUAUUUACCUUCUGGACACAGCUGGUCCCAGGUUUGGGUGCUGGGAAUACACGUUACCGCUACUAUCACAGGAACUGCUACACCUGCUUCAAUGGAUAUCAUGGAUACAACACAGGACACUUGGGGGCAGAGCUGGAAUGUGGUGGAACACAUUAGUUCAGAGAAGUUCUGGGACAGAACUUGAACACGCUGUAUGAUUUGGUAAUGUCUUGGCUGUGACAAAAGGAGCUUCAUUCAGCACUAAUAAUUCACCAUGAAGGACUGGAGAUGAUAAUGCCUUCACUCACUGUGAACAGAUGUCAGAUGUGUGACAAAACAAAUAAUAAACUGGUACAUUAGUGUUUGCCAAAUACUAUGUUGACGACUCAUGUUUUGUUCUCAAACCUGUAACUUAUUAAAACAAUGUAAUUAUGAUGAGUUAGUAAUAUUUCAUUUGCACUCUUAAAUGGCAAAUACUUUAGGCUGUGUUGAAAACUCAUUUUCAGAUUCGAGUUAAUGGACACUGAUUUAUGGAUUUGCUCUAACUUUAGGGUUUUGGGAGUUUAGGGAGACUGUCAGAGCACAACCAAUCAUUAGAACACCAUGAGCUUGCUUUACCAGAGUAAAUAAAAAGUAAAAAAAAAAAAAGCAUUUGUCCUCCUAGAAUUCAUCACAGUGUUACCUUUGAUAAAGUAGGAUCAGUGAGUUUCAGAAGACCCUCAGGGUUAUAUCUUCUGCACCACCUAUGUAGAUGGCACACGCUAAGAUUAUGGAUCAGGUAGACAAUGUUCACUCUUGACUCUUGUCUCUGCUGCCAAAUUGGUGGUGUGCAGAAAAGUGCUUUAAGUGUUAUAAGUGUAAACUUACUGCUACGAGGAAAGUUUUGAUGACUGCAUAAUAUGAAAAGAAAGUAAACAAUUUAUUUCUUUCCUACAGUGUCAUACAAGUUCAUUGUGAGUAAAGCCAUUAAAGAAUGUUUUUUUUUUUCACAAGCUCUGGACAGCAUUAAAUAAACCGUUUUUUUUUUAUUUUUGAAAGAAGUCUCACCAAGCUUGCAAUUAUUUGAUAAAAAAUACCAACGCUAUCUCACGACCAAUUUGUACAUAUUUUACAAGGUGGCUAAUUCGUACGAAUUCGUACGACCUCACUCAUGCGAAUUUAUACAAUUUGUCUAAACCCCAGUGACGGGUAGGUUUAGGGGCGGGGUUAGGGGUAGGUCAUUCGUACGAAUUCAUAUGAAUUUGGCAACUCAUAAAAUACGUACGAUAUAGCAAAAAACAUACAAAUUGGUACGAGUGAGGUUGUACGAAUUAGCCGCCUCGUAAAAUAAGUACGAAUUGCCGUGAGAUCGGGUUGAAAAUACAGUAAAAACACAAUACAUUUUUUUUUUUUUUAAAUAACUGUUUUCUAUUUGAAUAUAUUUUAAAAUGUUAUUUAUUCCUGUGAUGGCAAAGCUGAAUUUUCAGCAGCCAGUGUCACAUGAUCCUUCAGAAAUCAUUUGGUGGUGUUUAAAUGAGAUUCUUUGAUGAAUAGAAAGUUAAAGAACAGCAUUCAUUUGAAAUAGAAAUAUUUUUUAAUGUUAUAAAUUUAGUGCAUCCUUGUUGCAUAAAAGUAUUCAUUUAUUUUAAAAAAUCUUAUUGACCCCAAACUUCUGAACUGUGGUGCAUAUUGCAAAUUCUCACAAUUAGAAUAAGUGCUAGACUUAAGCUGUUUGUCUUGUUCUUGGUCUUUUAUCUUUAUAUAAAUAUUUUGAAAAAUGUAAAAAAUAAAUAAAUAAAUAAAUAAAAAGG